rnacentral:lncRNA from 1 species
AGGCUAGGGUAAAUGAAAUAAAGUAAUCAAACUAAAUUAAAUAAACUUAAACUUAUUAAAAGAAAAACCUUAGUCUCAAGUAAACAUCCACCAAUGAAAAUCAAAAUUGAUUAUUGAAACGAUAUGUCAAUAUAUAUUCUGAAUAUUUAUCUUUUCUUAAUAUUAGUCAGUUAACUAAUCCGUAGUAUAAAUAACUCUAACAAUUAAACAUCCACAACGUCCGUACUAGUAAUUUAAUAGCAGCCUUAAGAACUAG